rnacentral:rRNA from 1 species
AGGACUAACGCUGGCGGCGUGCCUAACACAUGCAAGUCGAACGAGAGUAGCAAUACUCUAGUGGCAGACGGGUGAGUAACACGUGGUCAACCUACCUCUAUGUGGGGGAUAACUAGCCGAAAGGUUAGCUAAUACCGCAUACGAUCGUCGAGCGGCAUCGCUUGACGAUGAAAGGAGCAAUCCGCAGAGAGACGGGACCGCGUCCCAUUAGCUAGUUGGUGGGGUAAUGGCCUACCAAGGCGACGAUGGGUAGCUGGCUUGAGAGAGCGACCAGCCACACUGGGACUGAGACACGGCCCAGACUCCUACGGGAGGCAGCAGUGAGGAAUUUUCCGCAAUGGGCGAAAGCCUGACGGAGCGACGCCGCGUGUGGGAAGAAGGCCUUCGGGUCGUAACCACUGUCGAAGGGGAAGAUAUUGACGGUACCCUUGGAGGAAGCCCGGCUAACUACGUGCCAGCAGCCGC